AUUGAACGCUGGCGGCAGGCCUAACACAUGCAAGUCGAGCGGAUGAAGCGAGCUUGCUCCUGGAUUCAGCGGCGGACGGGCGCGUAAUUCCUAGGAAUCUGCUUGGUAGUGGGGGAUAACGUCCGGAAUCGGGCGCUAAUACUGCAUCCGUCCUGAGGGUGAACGAGGUGGCUCUUCGGACUACACGCUUUCAGUUGAACCUAGGUCGGAUUAGCUAGUUGGUGGGGUAAAGGCCUACCCAGGCGACGAUCCGUAACUGGUCUGAUAGGAUGUUCAGAGAAACGAGAACGGAGACACGUUCCAGACUCCUACGGGAGGCAGCAGUGGGGAAUAUUGGACAAUGCGCGAGAGCCUGAUCCAGCCGUGCCGCGUGUGUGAAGAAGGUCUUCGGAUUCUGAAGCGCUUUAAGUUGGGAGGAAAGGCUGUAAGUUAAUACCUUGCUGUUUUGACGGUACCAAGAGAAUAAGCACCGACUAACUUCCUG
rnacentral:rRNA from 1 species